rnacentral:tRNA from 1 species
GGGCCGGUGGUCUAGUGGUUGCAAAUGAAACCGAACAUACGUUCGGAAAUAGGUAUUCCCGGAGGUUUACCUUGUUUGACAUAAAUGACGCCGCCCUUACAAGGCGGAGAUCGAGAGUUCAAUUCUCUCCCGGCCCA